rnacentral:rRNA from 1 species
AACAAACGCUGGCGGCGUGCCUAAUACAUGCAAGUCGAACGGGGAAAGCUUUCGGGUGAGUACUAGUGGCGCACGGGUGAGGAACGCGUGGAUAAUCUGCCUUAGAGUGGGGGAUAACUAGUCGAAAGAUUAGCUAAUACCGCAUAAGGCCACGAGAGCUGCGGCUUUUGAGGUCAAAGGUUUUUCGCUCUAAGAUGAGUCCGCGUAAGAUUAGCUAGUUGGUGAGGUAACGGCUCACCAAGGCGACGAUCUUUAACUGGUCUGAGAGGAUGAUCAGUCACGCUGGAUCUGAGACACGGUACAGACUCCUACGGGAGGCAGGAGGAGAGAAUAUUGCACAAUGGAGGAAACUCUGAUGCAGCGACGCCGCGUGAGUGAUGAAGGCCUUCGGGUCGUAAAGCUCUGUCGCAGGGGAAUAACACAAUGAAGGUACCCUGUAAGAAAGGAUCGGCUAACUUCGUG